UCGUCAGCUCGUGUCGUGAGAUGUUGGGUUAAGUCCCGCAACGAGCGCAACCCUCGUUCUAUGUUGCCAGCACGUGAUGGUGGGGACUCAUAGGAGACUGCCGGGGUCAACUCGGAGGAAGGUGGGGAUGACGUCAAAUCAUCAUGCCCCUUAUGUCUUGGGCUUCACGCAUGCUACAAUGGCCGGUACAAAGGGUUGCGAUACUGUGAGGUGGAGCUAAUCCCAAAAAGCCGGUCUCAGUUCGGAUUGAGGUCUGCAACUCGACCUCAUGAAGUCGGAGUCGCUAGUAAUCGCAGAUCAGCAACGCUGCGGUGAAUACGUUCCCGGGCCUUGUACACACCGCCCGUCAAGUCACGAAAGUUGGUAACACCCGAAGCCGGUGGCCUAACCCCUUGUGGGAGGGAGCCGUCGAAGGUGGGACUGGCGAUUGGGACUAAGUCGUAACAAGGUAGCCGU
rnacentral:rRNA from 1 species